AGGGGGGGCGCCUACAAUCUUGUGAUAUUUAUUUCCAGGCACUCAAGCAGAUUGUCACAGUAAAUAUCAGAGAAAAAUCCCCCUGUGCUCCCAGCAGGAGGAGGGGUAAAGGAGCCAUUUUCCAGGAGCCAGAGCACUCUCUGCUUCUUAACAAGCCCUGCCUUCAGGGGAAACUAGUUAACCAGAGCUUGACCUGCUGGGGUAUUAUCAGAGGCUAACUGACCCUAUGAGAAGGGAAGUACCUAACUCCAGCCCACUGUAGGUACCCUCUUCUACCUAAGGGGGAAGAAAAAACCCAAAAAACACUUGUGAAGUUCACAUUCCAGAGGCAUAGGCUCACAAAAACACUGAGACCUAAUCAUAGGACUAUAGAACGCUUACUCUCCUCACCUCACCACCACAUUACAGAAGGUCUAUUUACAGCAGUUCCUUUGGCCCAGUACAUCAUGUCCGACUAUCAAGAAGAAAUUACAAGGCAUAACCAAAGGCAAAAAUCACAAUUUGAAGAGACAGAGCAAGCAUCAGAACCAGAUAUGGCAGGGAUAUUGGAAUUAUCAGACCAUAAAUUUAAAACAACUAUGAUUAAUAUACUAAGGACUCUAGUGGGUAAAGUAGACAGCAUGCAAGAAAACAGAUGGACAGUGUAAGCAGAGAGGUGGAAAUCCUAAGUGAAAACCAAAAAGAAAUGCUACAGAUCGAAAACACUGUAACACAAAAGGAGAAUGCCUGUGAUGGGCUCAUUAGUAGACCAGACACAGCUGAGGAGAGACUCUGUGCUUGACGCUCUCUCGGUAGAAACUUCCAAAACCUUAUCUGUAGAAGAACAAAGAUAAGAAUUACAUCUGACUUCUCAGAAACCAUGCAAGCAAGAAGAGGAGUAAAAUAUUGAAAGUGUUGAGAGAAAAUAACCACCAACCUAGGAUUCUGUAACCUGAGAAAUCAUCCUUCAAAAGUGAAUGAGAAAUUACGACCUUCUCAGACAAAACAAUUGAGGGAAUUAGUUGCCAGUAGAUCUACCUUGCAAGAAAUGUUGAAAGAAGUUCUUUACAGAGAAGGAAUGUAAUAUAGGGCAUAAACUUGGAUCUACAUAAAAAAGGGAAGAAAAUUGAAGAAGGAAUAAAUGAAGGUAAAUACCAAGAAGUAGAAUUGCUAGAUAAUAUGGUGAGCCAUAAAUAGAUAUUUGAAAAGCUGCAAUUGUGGAUGGGCUUCUGCUCCUGCUGGACUCACUCUCAUUCCGAUUCCAUCAGAAAUGGUGAAGAUCAAUGCGGAGUGAUGCUGCUAAAGGAGCCCAGGCUGCUACUUGUAAGUAUUCUCGAGAAGACAGAAGAAAGGAAGUCCUUCUGCAAUCAACUCGUCAGGCUGAAUGUGAGAAAGAAGCCGGGUCAAGGUCAAUGGCUUCUUACCAGAGAUACUGAAGGGGAUCACAGCCUGUUUAUCAUCUCCUAAGAGUUUAAAAUCCUAGGAAUGAUUUUGCCAGUGAGCUGGCAGAGAAUAUGAAGUAGCUUCACCAAAUAUAAUGUUCACCGAACAAAUAUCCUUGAGUUUUUUCGGAGCGCCUGUGUCUGUGGAAAGCUAUCAUUUAAUCUCAGAGUCCUUCAAGGAAGGUCUGCACUCCUGAGGCCUGGCCCCAUAUGCCUGUAGUUUCUUUGAUGACUGAGGUCACCUGAUUCCUGGAAACUCUCCGGGGAUUGCAGAAUUGGUAUGAGCUUCAUUGUUUAUUCCUUUUUGCUGAAUGCUGCAAAGGCUUUUCUUUUCAUGUUUACAGAAGAUCCUUUGCAGUCGGGAAUGUUGAAAGGUGGCCAGGCUAUCUCACCUCUUGCCUCCCAACCCCAGUGGGAAGAGAAUUUGGAUUUACUGCAAAUGAAAUAGUGAGGAAAAAAAAUAAGUGCUCCCUGAAGAAGUCUGUGCCUGUAAGCAAGGUAUCCAGAAUACCCCAAUAUGUGCAUAAUACAAGGGACUAGUCUAAAAGAGGAGUUCAAGUCAUGCCAGUGUGAAAAAAUCUAAUUCUCCCUGUUUACCUGUUUGUCAGUGUUGACACACAAUUUCCUGAGUUGUAUCCAAAUGUCUCUGGGCAAAAUAGACACGUGCCAUUUCUUUCCUUCUUUUUUUGAUUUUGCUUUUUGUGUAGUUAAAUGUAGUUUCCUUUAAAUGGUUUUUAUUAUGAGAUUUGUGAGUGUGCAUGUUUAGUUUUUAAAACACUCUCCCCUAUGAAUCUAGUGAGGAUUUAAAACUGUCGACAUUCUUUUUUUG
rnacentral:lncRNA from 1 species